rnacentral:lncRNA from 1 species
CAGUUUGAAAGCAUGCCAGUGCAAGUAGAUAAAUAGGUACCGCUGCCGCGGAAAGGUAAACGGCGUUUCUGUGCGCUCUGGCUUCCGUCACGGUGUCCUGUUGCGCCAGAAGUGAUUUAGUCAUGCUGGCCACAUGACCCAGAAAGCUGUCUGUGGACAAACACCAGCUCCCUCGGCCUGAAAGCAAAAUGAGCCCCGCAACCCCAUAGUCGCCUAUGACUGGACUUUACCUUCCAGAGUUCCUUUACUUUUACCUUUACCUAAUAUAUAUAGACAGCCUCAAUACCUGAAAAACCCAUGGACCUGAGACCUGGACAGCAGGGGAACAUUUGGCCCCAUCUGGAAUCCUAAGCAUAUUCAUUUAUUUUAAAGUGUGUAGCUACAAAUACACCCAUACACCCCAAUAUACCUUCCAAGUGCCCCAGGAAAAAAAUGGGACAUCUCGGUGGUCAUUUUGGGUGCCGUGCUCUCAUGCUGGGUCUCCCCACCCCCCAGGCCCGUGCUUUUUUCUGGGUGAAAGCAAGGUGCGUUGGGCUAGAGAUUUUGGAUAUAAUAUACAAUUUGAUGAUUGGGAAAAACUAUGGAAGGAAAACUUAAGAUUUACUGCUUGUACAGCGUUAAAAGAAAAUGUCAUGAAAAUGUUUUACAGAUGGUAUAUCACACCGGUAAAAUUAGCAAAAAUGUAUAAGACCUGUAAUAAGUGCUGGAAAUGUAAAGAAAAAGAAAGAACGUUUUAUCAUAUGUGGUGGGAGUGUAAGAAAGUGAAGGGCUUCUGGGAGAUGAUAUAUAACGAGAUGAAAAAAAUGUUGAAGUAUACAUUUGUUAAGAAACCAGAAGCCCUACUUUUAGGGAUUACAGGAAAGGAAAUAAGAAGGAAGGAUUACAAACUUUUUCAAUACGCAGUUACAGCAGCAAGAAUUCUACUGGCCCAGAAGUGGAAACAAGAGGAAAUACCGACGAAAGAAGAAUGGAGGAUGAAAUUAACAGACUAUGCAGAACUGGACAAGUUAACAGGGAAAGUUAGAUAUCUUCAAGACCAUAAGUUCAUCGAGGACUGGGGGAAAUUCAUGGAAUAUCUGAAAAGUACAUGUGAAGUACAAACAACGCUAGUGGGGUUUAAAGAAGCACUGUAAAAACUGAGGUAUAUUGUUAAAAGAAAAUGGAUGGUUGGAGGGGGGACUAAUGGCAAUAUAGAACAGAAG